GAUGAACGCUGGCGGCGUGCUUAACACAUGCAAGUCGAGCGAAGCAUUUUAAAGGAAGUUUUCGGAUGGAAUUUAAAAUGACUGAGCGGCGGACGGGUGAGUAACGCGUGGGUAACCUGCCUCAUACAGGGGGAUAACAGUUAGAAAUGACUGCUAAUACCGCAUAAGCGCACAGUGCUGCAUAGCACAGUGUGAAAAACUCCGGUGGUAUAAGAUGGACCCGCGUCUGAUUAGGUAGUUGGUGAGGUAACGGCCCACCAAGCCGACGAUCAGUAGCCGACCGGAGAGGGUGACCGGCCACAUUGGGACUGAGACACGGCCCAAACUCCUACGGGAGGCAGCAGUGGGGAAUAUUGGACAAUGGGGGAAACCCUGAUCCAGCGACGCCGCGUGAGUGAAGAAGUGUUUCGGCAUGUAAAGCCCUAUCAGCAGGGAAGAAAAUGACGGUACCUGACUAAGAAGCCCCGGCUAACUACGUGCCAGCCGCCGCCGUAA
rnacentral:rRNA from 1 species